GGGACAGUAACAGACAAAACAAGGCGCCAAAGACCGGUGGCGCAACUGGCUGUGAGAAGCCAGAUUGAAGGUUAGGGCUUCCUGCCCGGCUGCCGGGAGCGGUGGGCCCAGUAUUGCAGAGGACCCUCGAUAGAUGGCCAGGGUCAGCCUCAGCAAGGACAGCCAACAUGCAGCUAGAGAGCAGAGUCAUCUGGGGACAGGGUCUCCCUGUGAAGUUCAGGCUGGGACUGCAGGCAUGUGCCCCCACACUGACUUCCAUUGUGUUCUGCUGAAGGACUUCUCAGAGCUCUGAAUGUACAAGUGUGAGAAGAAGCUGCUAAGGUGGUAAGCCUCGCAAGCGCUUGAUCGUGCGCACAUAUGGAGGCCAGGGUUCUUUGUCUGCACUUAGAAAGGAGACCCAGGAAGUGCACAGUUUAAGUCUUGAGUCUCUCUUCAAACCUGUGCUAGAGUCACAGUUGCCACAUGCUCAGCUGCCAACACUGGACUUCUCUGAAAUUCAGAUUACUUACCUUCCCCCUCCCCCCAAAAAAAAGAAUUUUUUUAGGUUGUCAUUUCCAUUUAUUUAUUGAGCUUGUCCAACCAUGUAGCCCUGGCUGAACCUUGGACUCUCAGAGAUCCACCUGCUUCAUCGUAGAGGAAUUUUAAUCCAGAAACAUGGCUGCUGUGGCAAGGGAUCACAUCUGAAGACCGGGUAGUUAGUUCAUAAACCUGCCUCUAGGUUGCCUAGCAACCUGACAUCCUGUGUGGCAGAUGUGACUCGUCCCUUGGGUAGUUGAACACGAACACCGUCUACCUGAAAGAGGGAGUGGAAAUGGGGGACAGAGACGCAAAGAAUGGAGACCAAGACAGGCUUCUGAUCAAGGUCUCAGUUUACUGAACGUGCAAACAACACUUAUAAAGCAAAGGGUACAAUCAAAUUUUUUCACAGUAACAACACAUCUGUGCCACCUGGCAAGGCACCCAAGAAUUCACUCAAGGUUACACAAAGUUUGCUAUCUGGUUCCCGGGGUUGCACGGAGCUUGCUAUCUACUUCUCAGGCUCAGAACACCCCAAACACCCCACUUGCAGAGACUGCCAAGGACAGUCUCAAAGAAAUGGAACUUUAGAUAAGACCCACAUCUGCCAAGGCCAGGAGGCAGAAUUCCAAUUACCAGACUCCUUCACAGAUGCAUCUGGGAGACACAUUUCAGCUGCACACCAGAUAUAAAGAGACAACCAGUCACUACACGCUCUCUCUGCUUGGGUUUCUCUCCCCUUCCAUCCUCUCUGACUUUCUCUUUUUCUGUCUUUCUCUUCUCCUGCGCUCUUGCUCUCCCACUGUCUCUGUCUGUCUGUCUCUCUCUCCACACUUCUGCACAAUAAAUCUCUUCAUUCCAGAUCUGUUGUGUGUGUGUGUAUGUGUGUGUGUGUGGCAUUUUUAAAUAUAUUAUUACACUAGGUCUAUUUGAUCUGGCUGGAAUGCUGACAUGCCACACACCUUUAACCCCUCUGGCUAGAAUAUAGACAAGGCUUUGGUACACACUUUUAAUCCCAAACAAUGACAGUAAAGUUAGUUUGUAGAAGAAAGCACUCAUGUUUGAAGGUGACCUCUACUUGAGAGGCAGACAAAGUGAUGAAUCAGAGAAAGAAUUGACAGAAUAGGAUAUGCCCAACUUUUAUGAAGAGAGAGAGGAAAGAGGUGACUUAAGAGAGAGCAUCGCAGAGGAAGAGGAAGGAAGCAGUUUUACAGGGACAGUUGCACAGAGACAGGUUGGAGACAGAACAAGCUAGGUGAAGACAGAACAAACCAGAGAAGGAGAAGCCAGAAGAUUAGAACAUAUUGCCAAAGUUAGUAUGAGGCCAAGCAGAGCAAUUCAGUCACAAGCCAACAGAAGCCAGUUUGAAUCAGUUUGGAGAGGAGUUUGGGGCCAGACAGAGAGUUGAACCAGCCAUCCAGAGUUCAGAAGGAGCUAGAAAGGGUGAGGUAAUUGAGCAGUUAAGUCUCAGAAGCUAGAAAUACUCUAGGCCUAAGUUAGCAGAUGGAAGCAGUAAGCCUCCGAAAGGACAAUUAAAUCAAGUGAAUAAAAGUCACUUUUACACUUCAGCCUCCUGAGUACUGGGAUUGUGCUACCAUCACCCAGCACCAAUUCCUCAUCUUUUUAGACUAAGAUUUAUACCUAGCUCCCUGGAGGAUGUUUUGAGGAUACAUUUCUGCAGGGAAGACAUGUAGAAUGCUUACCCAGGCUGAUUUACCACGUAAUCUACAAACAAACCCAUGACAUUGAUCUCAUGACCCAAAUCUUGGCAAUGGCCUUUGUCCCUGUUGAUGGAUGUGCAGGAAGGCUCAGCAUGAGCAGGAAAGAAGGUAAGGCUGUGACUUGGAACGUGCAUUCAGCAGCCCUGGGUCUUUUGUGUUUUCCUGAGCCUUCUCUGCCUCCACCUCCCUCUUCAGUUCUCCACAGCAGCAGCAUGAGACUCCCCAGCCUGACCUUCGUACAAAUUGUUAUCUUGGGGAUUUUUCUUUUCUUUUUCGAGACAGGUUUCUCUGUGUAGCCCUGUCUGUCCGGGAACUCUAUUUGUAGUCCAUGUUGGCCUCAAACUCACAGAGAUCUGCCUGCUUCUGCCUCCUGAGUGCUGGGAUUAAAGGUCUCCACCACCACCGCUCAAUGGCUUCAUGCACAAGGAGACGAAUGCUUGUUACUGGUUUCAUAUUGUUUAGAUUCCUGAUAUCAAAGGUAAAGACUUCUCUGACCUACUCUUCACAAGUGGAAUUGAUGCGUAAUCCUGUUAAGGGAUACUAUCCUCUAGGCAAGACUUGGGGUGACAUUCUUGAAACCGGAUCAGCUGUGAACGCCCACAGGAGUCCCUUCCAAGACUGAAUCUACAUUCAGGGUUAGAAGUAUGGGGGUGAUCAGCCCUUCACCUGGGAGUCCAGCCACUCUCUCCUCUCUGCACCCACCCCAAGUAGUCCCGUUGCAGCUGCAUGUGAUUGAGAGGUGCUGCAGCUUACAGGAUGUGGAAAGUUAACUGAAGGGGACACUCCACAGCUUUCAACCAGCAACCAUCCUGUGCUCAAGAGAUGGCUCAUGAUCCUGUUAACAGUCUCAAUAAACUCAGUGGUUUACCAUGCUAGA